rnacentral:rRNA from 1 species
ACGGAUAUCUCGGCUCUCGCAUCGAUGAAGAACGUAGCGAAAUGCGAUACCUGGUGUGAAUUGCAGAAUCCCGCGAACCAUCGAGUCUUUGAACGCAAGUUGCGCCCGAGGCCUUCUGGCUGAGGGCACGCCUGCCUGGGCGUCACGCCAAACACGCUCCAACC